rnacentral:lncRNA from 1 species
AGCUGUUGUAGUCAGGACUGGGGUCCAGUGGACAGAGAACAGGUGGUGGAGGCCUGGCAUAGAGGGAAAGUUGCCACUCCCUCUGCAGGAUGAACACAGACAGGCCAAAACGCAAAAUCAUUCGGAAGAGAUAUGACGUCAGCGACGGGAUGCCGUGGUGCGAGGAGCGCAUGGUCCAGAAGGUUCUCUUCCUGUCCCUGAAGGAGUUCAGGGACGCCAGGCGCCCAAGCACCCAGGGGCCACACCGACCGAGGCCCGGGGCCGCGGCACAGGAUCAGCAGAGGACACCGCGGCCGAAGCCAGGAUCGCACGCACGCACAAAAAACAAGGCACCUGUCUCCCAAGAUGGGCCAAAACCAAAGCAGGGUCGCUGGCAAACACACGCGCUGGAAAACCCCGAGGAGGAGCUAGCACUGCCACAGAUUGCCCCGGACACCUGUUCGCCCCAAGGCAAACGCCACGGCCUUCAAACCGCACAGAUGCUCGUCGAGGUCCUGCCAGCAGCCAAGCUCGCACGUCGAAGACCAGCGACAGGCGCGCCACAGAACAGCCACUCGCUAGCGGGCGUUGCCGUCGCUCAGCCCAGAACACUGCGCUCACACAGAGCACAGAGCCUUCUCGCGUUCUUGAACACGUCCAAGCCACAGCGCGCGGCUCCGCCGACCCCGCAGGACACCCGCCCGAAAUGCGAGGAAGGGCUGAACGGCACUCGUGUCGCGCAAAGCACGUCCACGCAGACGGUCCCCACCAGGAUUCUGAGGUCCCACACACCUACCGCCCGCCUCAAUGGUGCUCCCAGACAGGUUCCAGCUCUGCUAUCCACCAAUGAGAGACAGGGACUGACCCUGCAGGCCUAUCAUCAGCAUCGUCACGGCAACAUGGGUCAUGGUAGAGAUGACCCGGCCAACCAGAGGUUCUGUGGCAUUGCCGAACAGCAUGGCCGUCUUAGGUAGUUGCCGGAAAAAGGAAUCCGCUGUCACUUCAUGUCUUCCCAGCAGUCUAGGGCGGCCGACGGAGAAAGGCAGGACUACAGCCUUCAGGAGAAAAGCCCGCCACGGCAUGGCCCCCAGGCCGCUGAGGAGGCUGGGGGUGGCGGCCCUCCUCCUCCGGGGGGCCGGAGACACGGAGGCCGCCGGCAAGCGGAGAUACGGACUGUGUUCCAACGCCGCCGCCGCCGCCGCCUCCUUCGCUCCGAGGAAACUGAGCCUAAGGGAAAGGAAGAUGAGGGAGGGGAAAGGAGAAGGGAAGCCGACGGGGAACGGUGGAAGAGAGAAGAGGGCAGGGGGGAGAGUCGAGGGGAGGAGGAAGAGAGAGCCGGUUCGUGUCCUGCGACCUCGCCAGCUCUCUCUGCAGGUUGCCAUGGUGACUGGGCUCUCUGAUCAACACACUUCCUAUGUACUACAAGCGCCGCCAAUCAAGUCUAAAUCGACCAAUAGCAGCAGACGUUCCGGACCCUAUUCUAGGGAGAGCAAAGCUAGUUUGCCCAGAAGGCCCCAUGUGAGCAUUAAACACCACAUUACCCGUAGAAACCUAAAAACAUACACAAAUCACAGAAUGCCUCAGAACCAGCAUGGCACUUGCAACCACAGAAUUGCCUCUGUUCAUCAUUGCCAACUCAGGAACCUUGCAUGUUCCCAAUCUUCAAGGGAGAACUCUGCCAGGACCCCAGUCAAAACACCAGGCCCGAACAGAAUGCUUUAUGCAAAUCCAGCAGCUAAUAGCUCAGCUAUGAGGCACCCAAACAAACGCGUCAGUGAGCAUUCUGGGGUCGUGAGACUGUCCAGGAGAAUGAGAGGCCUUCCACCAGAUACCGGUCUUAAUCUUUUAAACGCUCUAUUUGCAAUGCCAAGCAACAACUGCAUGAACCUGAGGAACGGCCAGAUACAGCAACACAAAGGCUCCAAGAUGACGUUGCAUGGCAUACAACGCGGCACCGAGGUCCUCCGAGAGAGGCUGGGGUUUGACCCCAAGGCUCCCAAAAGGGAGACGAGGCUCGACCGCGGUGUCGGAGCCCGUGAAGCAGCGGAGGACAGCAUCAGGUGUGCGGAGGACGUGGCGGUGGGAGACACGGUGUCGACGCAGGGGACCGUAGGUAAGAGCGGGGUGGACAGGGACACUGAGGAGAUUGGUAAGGACGGUGACUGUCUUUUCAGCGAGGACGGGAAGGACAUCUGCCAACAGCCGUUAGGAAGAGAUGGACGGGAAGUCAGCGGUCGUCUUGUUGAGGGCGAACAACAGACCCCGGGCUGCGCUAGUCUGGACAGAUUGAGGAGCAGGAAAAUGAUGUGCGAGGCAGAUCACAGGAGCUGCGGCGACACUAGUGAGGUUGUGUUGUGUCAAGGCCACGUCGAUAGCUCCGCAGAAGAGGACAACGGCGAUGUAGCUUCAGUCCCAUCCAAACCAGCACCACCUACAAGGACUGUCACCAGAGCGGCAGUGGCCAAGGCCAAUGCGGCAAAUACAUCGUUAACGUAUACCAGUGUAGAUUCAGGUGAAAGAACAAACUGUUCUGCCAGGGGUGCUAAGCCAAAUCACAACAGCACAAACAAAUUCACAAGUGCAGCCAACUGUCCCUUCGACAAUACCAACCGGGGGACCUCUAAGGAGUCAUUCAAUGCUCUCAGUAAGAACUUAUCAAAGGGCACUGCUCCAAACGGCAGGAAUCCUAACACCACUUCCAAAGGGCCAAUAAAGCCUUCUACCUCUGUCGCUAAGACCAGAACGAGCCCUAGGAACCUGAAGCCGUAG